UACUCUCUCCUCGAAGCCCAGAAUCAAGGAGAGAGUCUGUGAAUUUCCCAGGUUUGAUACCUAAUAUCGCAUGUGCACAGGCAUGUGUGCAUACACACAUCAUAAACGUGUGUGUGUAUAUGACAAUUCAAAACAGACCCCACUGGGGAUGUAGUUCAGUAGAGAAUGAUUGCCCAAGUCACGUGAGAUCCGGAGGCCCAUCCCAGUGUGGGGCCGGGGUGGGAGGUUCCAUGGUUUCCAGCAGCCAUUAAUUCUAAACCAUUUAUUGCCAUGCAAACACAUGACCCCAGGCCAACCUUGGGAAACCGGAGGUGCUGUGGUGUCCAUAGGCCAGGCUUGUGCAAGUGUAAAACAAGCCUCUUGGGGCACUAGGAAUCACAGUUUUCAAAACUUGAAUAAUUUUGAAAAUCAUACUGCCCCAUUUCUUUUGUAGAGAAGGAAGUUAAGAAGAGCAGGUGACAGUUGACCUGGGUGCAGUGGCCAAGCAGAGGAGAGAUCCCAUGCCCUCCAGGGCCACACGGGGGGGGGCGUGGCGGUGAGUCCUUCAACUGGCCUGAGAGGUCACACAGGAAAACGAGGGAGGACCCAGGCUGAGUCAGCUCUGCUGCUCCUGACCCCAGUGCCUCCCGAAAGGCCAGACUCCUGGCCCCAAAGCGUGACAAAGGCCUGUCCUUCUUCCUCCAGGGUGUCUGUCACCUCGUCACCAUCUUUGUUAUUUAAUGGGGUGUGCACAGGACGCUAACAUUGCCUUCCUAGGAGUGCCCCAGAGCUCUGUCCUGUGACUCUGAGAGUGCAGGGACCCAAAGCUGACCCUUCUAGCCCCACCCUCCCAACUCUCCACAAGUUCCAUUGUCCCGGAGACCUGACUUACAAACCAGAACCAGAGGAGAUAUUGUUAAGAGGUCAAAGUCUAAACUAAAGUAGCAGAGCCUUCUUUAGUGGGUCUCUCCUGAGGGCCAGGCACGGAGAGUCUGCUCUGGCUGCAGGCAGGAAGCCAGGUCAGAGAUGAGCAGCUGCUGGGACCUCUGAAGUUAUUCAGACACCAGAGAUACACGGUCAGGGGAGGGAGUGUCAGCCUUGCCUUCUCUUGCCUUGGGCUGCAGCCUUCUCUGAGGUGGGAGAGGGGAAGGCCUGUUUGUCUAUUAUGAGCCCUGAGAGGGGGAAGAAUUUGAGAUGUGCUCCAUCAUGGCUCCUCUCCCGUCUUUCCCUCCUCCCCAUUCUAGAGAUGGAACCCAAGGCUUGUUUAGAGUAGGCCAGAAUUCUACCACUAAACCCUAAUUCAGUUUCUCCAUAUCAUCCUUUAGUAUGUGUGUGUAUGUGUGUAUUUGCAUGUAUUUGUUCAUGUAUGUGCUCACACGUACAUGGGUGUACAUAUGUGCAGAGGCAAAGAAAACCUAGAGCAUCAUUCCUCAGGAACUAACCCGAGUCUUGGUUUUUGAGUCAAGUGGAUCUGUGUUCAGUGGGAUUUUGAGUUCAGUGGGAUCUGGGGCUCAUUGAUUAAGCUAGUCUGGGAUCCUCCUGUCUCUACACGCCACCAUCCUGGCUUCUUUACAUGUGUUCUGAGGAUAGAGCUGGGGUCCUCACACUUGCGUGGCAAGCACUUUCCUGACUGAGCCAUCUCCUCAGUCGCUGGCCCCCACAUCCUCAGCACAGGCACAGGGUGGCUACAAGAACUUCCUUGUCGUCCCCUGCAGCUUUUGGGCAGUGUCUGUGGAAUCUCACUGUGGCACUGACCCCUGCUCUCUGCUUGCUUUUGAUGCUGCUGAUGGAUUUAGUCCUUCGAGAGGCUAUACAGCCGGACUCAAGCCGUGAGCAUGUGGAGCCCGCCUGAGGAGAUGCAAAGACCGAAGCCAGAGAAGGUGGCGCAUGCCUAGCUAGCUGGAGCCCUGUGCCCUACACACAGGAUCUCUGCACCCUCACCUCCAGGCCUGUGGUGCGGGGAGGACUCAUUUGGGUGGUUGCCACACUGACGCGGCACUGAGUCAGAGCGGAGAUGGCUUUCCGAGAUAGUACGCUGGUUGAUGUGGAGAAGCAGUCUCAGGACUUGGCGCUAUGGCGCCUGCCUGCCUCCUUCCGGACUGCUUGACACUGGCUAAUUUGUGCUUGGAGCGUGUCGGAGACUCUCCAGGGCUCCUGUUGGCACUCCCUGGCCUUUUAUGGGUGGAAGGUUCUUAUUAGCACUCGGGAAGUCGGAGUUUUCCUUCCGGAUGGGUUAAUGCGUAUUUGGAAAGAAGAGCGUGGAAAGGCGGCAUGGGAGUGUCCACAGCCCAGCAGGACUUGGGGCUACAGAACAAUGAGCACUUGCAGCCAGCAGGAGGGACCCUCUGCAUGGGUGCAUUAGGAAAUAUCUGGGAGAGACCUCUACAGUGCGGGUCGGAGACGGGGCCUGCUCACGGCUCAUUAGCCCCGUGGCCAGGUGCCAGAGGUUGGUGGAAAAGAACAGGUGACUCCUCUCGGGAGCAUCAUUAAAACCCCGUGGUUUGCGCUUGGCAUUCAGGGACCAUUACCAAAUCCUUGCCCUUGGAAUAAUGUUUCCAGGUCUUCUUAUUUUGGAGGACAAGGGUAGCGAGGUGAAGGCCUGAAAGGAAUGGUAAGCGAGAACAAAACCCAGGUGCCCUGCCAAGAAUGGAGCUGAUGGUAGGAACGCCACACGUAAGGACAGAGGCAUCAUAUCUGUGUGAAGCAAAUAAUCAAAGCCACGGCCAAGGUCAUAUGAGCAUCCUCUGCAGACAUCUGGACAACUGUGGACUCACAUGCAUGCCAGAGGACCUUACCAGCCUGGAGACAACCACACCAGGAUGGCUAGGUUGGGUCCCACUGCCAUCCCAGGUGAGGAACGCAGUUUUAGCUCCCAGUAUUCACAGGACUUUCCAUCCGCCCACCCCCGUCAGCAGGGCAGCCAGGCUUCAGGUCUGAGCUGUGAAAAGCCAGGGGAUCUCUGACUCACUCGCCUCCUCUCCAGCUGCGACAGAGAUCUGGGAAUGUGAGGCCCAUUCUGAGCGAGGGGACAUUCCUGAGCUGGGGCUUGUAGCAGUCCUAAGUCAACCGCCCACUUCCUCUCCAGUCACACUGCUUCAUCUGAGGAGCAAGGCUAACCUCACACAGCGAGCGGCAUGGGGCAUGCAGCAUGGGGCACCCAGCAGAGUGCAUCGCCCAGCCACAGAGAGGGCAGUGGACAGGGAUAGCAGCUGUCCCCUCCGCUUCCCACAAACAGGAAAGAUGUCUCUCAGCUCAGGCCUGUGAUGUUCGAGACAUGCCUGUUUCAUAACACGUGUUCACAGGGGACCUAGGAACGCGUCUCUUCUGGGGGUAGACAUUGCUGGUUUUGAACAUUUGAAGUCACAGACAGAUGACUCCGCCGACCUUUGACCUGUGGGUAAACAUUUGUGCAUCUGAAUCCCAGAAAAGCGUUAUUUAUUAACAGAACUCGGAACAGACACGCAUGGCAAGCUCGCAGGGGGCAGCCUGGGUCAGUGGACGAUGCAGAGGACGGGGCAAGGGGCACUGGCCUCACCAGGGACUGCUGUCAUGGGGAAGACUGGCCCUCACAGUGUGCUGAGGUGGACUAUGGAGGGAAGGACGGUGCUCAGGGCGCUGCAGGCCAGGGGCAAGGGAGGACAAGACCCAGGAGAGACAUCUGUGCUGGGUGGGACCCAGUCUGCUCAAAUGACCCCCUAGCGAGACCUAGGGAGAAGCGGAGCAUGGGCACAGCAGGGGCAAGAUGGGGGGUGGAGAUUCAGGCACACAAGUCACAGCCCAUGGCUAGAUUGGCAGCGGCUACUGGAGGUGUUACGGUCCUGCGCAGAGAGUGGCAUCACCAAAGUGCCACAGCCAGGUCAUCCUGAUGGCACUCUGAACUUUGGCCUUGAAAGGGCUGGUGGAGGGGAGCUGUUAGGAGAUCCUAUCACUGCUGUCGACAGGCUAGACCAGAGUGGCAAGGUGUGGAACUCCCCUGCCCAACUCCCCGCCGGAGAGCCCCUGGUGACUGCCAGGAUACUGAAUUCUCGCCCAAGCUACCUUGUGUACCCUGAAAGCCCCAGCCCUAAGUGGCAGGCUGCUGCUGUAGCAUCUCACAGGUGAGGGCCCGAGGCUUGGAGACAAGAGGGUACCACUCACAGUGAGGCAGCGCAGGGUCAGGACUUAAACAGACCUGUCUGCCUCCUGCCACACCCACUCGGGAGAGGAGAGGGUCUCUGAUCAUUUCUAGUUAGAAGCCUCCGAGAACAGACAGCUGACAAGGGCAACUGGGGUGGGUGGACCAGAUGAAAUUUUAACACUGCCACAGAUGGUGACAACAUGUGGCCAGAGUGACCAGCCCAAGGUUCGUGUGAAAGAUGGACAAAGAGAGUUCUGCCUCAGUAGAAGGUGAAGAAGAGGUUUAUAGAGAUCGGAGGCAUAUUCGUGAGGCCUCAGGCACCUUCUCGAUGACCUGUGACGUGUCCCUCCAUCACCUUCAGUGUGUAGGUGAGGAAACAAAUACUCAAAGGCCACAAGUUCCCCCUUGAGUCCAGGAGGUGGGUCAGCGGGUAACAGUAUUUGCCACCAAGCCCGAUGACCUGACUUCUGUCACCAGGACCCACAUGGUGGCAGAGAGCCGACUCCCACAGCUGUCCUCUGACCACCACACAUGCACCAUGGCACGUGUGCAACUUCCCCCAAACAAAUGUAAUUUAAAUUUUUUUUUUAAAAAAGAAACGUUUUAAACUUUUAUCUAAAGUUACAGCCCAAGGACUCUGGGACUCUGGCUGAAGCGUCGCCCACCAGUGUAUCUGGGUAGAUUAACACAGGAAGACACUCGCAGAAUAAUAGAACCUUCCACGGUAAGGAAUUCAGCUGGGGUUUGUCAGCCCCGUAGUGAGGCACAAUCCACAGCGGGACAUGAACUGUGGCGCUGCAGUUUGAGUGUCUCUCAGAUGCACUCUGACGUGUAAUUGGCAUGUAGCAGUAUUCAGAGAUGGGGUCUUCAGGAAAUUAUUAGGUCACCGUCCCCUGAAUAUUUACAGCCAGCCGACCCCGUCCUUUCCCACCCGCCCCUCUCCAGACAGGCAGACCCCAGCUCACUCACCUGGCUCCUCGUGGUACUUGGUUCAACACUGUCCACCCAAAGCAAGUCUUCUACGUUCCUCUGCCCCUCUCCCAACACACGUGCAAACGCUCCUCUAAGUUCUUGGCUCAGUCUUCCCUCUACCUCCAGCUACAGCGUUACUCAGAGUUCCUCCCGUCCCUCUCGGGUCUCAUCAUGACCGACACCCCACCUCCCUCCCCAAAUUUCUCCACGUCUUCACUCCAUCAGGCCAUCUCAUCCACACCACCCCCUGCUAACCAAAGUCUGGUUCCUCUCAGAUGCCAAAGGCUGUGAAGCAAGAAAGACCCAGGAAGGGACACGUACAAACUUGCUUUUCUAAUUUUCAAAUUAUUAUCCAAUUAUCGUUCAGAUGAUUUCCUUGGGAGACGGCCCCAAGAUUGGAAUUCAGGGGUGAAGAAGGUGGGUUAUCUCGGUGACUCACGGCUCCCAUACGUUUGAAGACAAGCACCUACCCCCCCCCCACUCCCAUUCUUCUCCAACAUACAUAUUUUAAGAGUGUGUCGGAAGAAUUUUAAUUUGUGCUUUGCCUCUUGUUCCCUUUCUCUUUUCAUUAAAAGAAUUCAAUAAAUUUCAAAACACCAUCCUAUCCCCAUAGGUUGGUUUGCUUUAUUUCCAUUUUGCUGUCUGUUUCCCAGGCUACAGAUACCAUUUUACUAAUUGGCAGGCAUUUCACCAAUUUUAUAGCAUGGACAUUUUCCCUCAAAAGACUAAGAAACAGAGUCAGGAGGAGGCUUGGCUCAUGCCCUUCCUCAUGCUCCAAGUGAGUCUCAAAUAAACAAAAACAAGAGUGAAUUGGGAAGGGAUUAUCACCCUGUAUCUUCAUCAGAAUAAUAAGCCACUUUCUCUUUUCAAUAAAGACAAAAAAAAAAUGGUACAGGAAGGGCUCUGGGUAUGGAGAGACAGAAAAAUUCCCCUUUUAUUGAAUAUUGUGUUUUUAAUGAGAAAUAUACCCAGAGGCUGCCGGAGGAAGUGACUCACUGGGGGUGGUCCUUGAGUGUUCUAGAAAAUCCAGGCAGAAGUGACUCACUGGGGGUGGUCCUUGAGCGUUCUGAGCCUGGGUUCAUUCCUCGUCCUCUCUCUGCUCUCCUCCAAGAUGGGAUGGGAGGAAGAAAGUCCCAGCCACACCCCCGUUUCCAUGAGCGUCACACCCCCACUCUGCACGCCUGAGCUAAUAGGCCCUUCCUUAGUCAGGUUUGGUGACAGCAACGGGACCCGUAACUGAUGCAAUGAUGCCUUUUCCUGAAAUGUUCACUUAUGGAAAAAUGAAGUGAUUGAUAAGCUCUAUCUCUCGAGUCUCGAUCCCGCUACCUGCCCUCUCCUCCCUCUCCCCUUCCCUCCCCUCCCUCUGACCCUCAAAGGCUGUCAAAGCCACAGUGAUUUGUCUGAAAGACUCAUCUGAUUCCCUGUGGGCCCCUUUUAGAGAUUUCAGAGCUUGGGUCCUGACUCCUCAGUGUAAACCAUCAUCUUUGAGUAAAACUGACUGUCUCAAGCCAGAUAUGUAUUUUCAGCUGCAGCACCUUGCCCAAACCUGGAGAAGUCUGGAAGAUUCAUGUAAGCUUCAGAGAACUGAGGGAGCCACAAGUCUCGAAUCCACUUCUCAUAGAACAAAAGGAUUCCAGGUAAGUAAGCCUAAUUUCCCCUAUCUGUCUCCUCUCUCUCUCUCCUGGUCUUGAGGCUCCCUCUCCUCCCCCAACUCCUAGGACCAUGGCCUUAAAGUCCCAAAUGUAAGGGUUUCCUUUAACUUCCUAAAUUUUAACUUUUCCCCUAGUCUACUUCUGUCUCACCAGAUUUUCACUUGGCUGACACAUCAAAGCGUCACCUGCUGACCACAACCUGCUCUGCACGGCUGAGAGCCCUGGACUUGCUGAAAGCUGAUAUGGACCAGUCCAGUCUACGUGAAUGUUCCAUCUCUUCAGCUGGGUCAGCGAUCCCCAUGAAUGCCCCACUGCCUUUGACUAGCAUUCCAGCCUUCCUGGGCCCUCACAACAAAGUCCUAGUUUAGCAGGAAGUAGUUACAGAAGAGAGUUCCUUCUAGGUAGUAAUUCUGAUGUCAACCAUCACAGGACCUUUGACCCUUCUGCGUCUGCUAAUUGUGUCGACUCUUGCAUCCUUAAUGCCUUAACUAAAUGAUAAUUCCUGUCUGGGUACCAUUAAGCUGAUGGUUAUUAGAUCCCAAUAUAAACAGGUACCCAUCACAGAGUCAAGGAUUUGACUCAGGAUACAACUUGAGGAGGAAUGUGAGAGCCAAAGUUACAUCUUAAAUUUUAAUUACUCUGCCUAAGAGGUCCAUGAAACACAAAUGCCUCUCAUCUGCAAGCCCCUUGCCCAAGGACAGAUAGUUCCGAAAAUGUUGGAGACUAUUCGUUAUGGAAGAUAACAAGCCACAUGUUUCAUUCCCCUAAACAAGUUCAUUUGGCCAUCUGCACCAGAUGUGCUUGAUCACAUGUGGACGGGAAGUUCACAAGCAGGAAAUAAGUCAGGAUGCAUGCUUGCCCCUGAUUGAACGAAAGCUGGAGAUACAACAGGAUGUAUGCUUGCCCCUGAUUGGAUCUGAUAGGAAAUACUUAAACUGUUGUAAACUCUGAUUCGGAGUCAUCUUCUGGAAACCUAGAGAUGGUCCUGGACAGAGCCUAUCCUGGCCAGUACUUAAUUAAAGCUUGCUUCAAAUUUGGUUUUAAACCAUGGUAGAGGUCUUAUUCUCAAUCAGUGGGAUUAACAUUAGGAAGUGAGAAAACUCAGUUCUCUUGAUUAGAUGCGUUAGGAAUCCGCCUGUCCUUCACCAUGUGGGUCUCAGGAAUGAAACUGGGGUCAUCAGGCUGAGUGGCAAGCACCUGUACCCACUGAGGCAUGGUGUCCCAAGUUCCAGGGGAAUGUCUGUCACAGCCCACACUGAAAUGACAAGCCCUGAGGCUGCUCAGAACGUUGAGGUGCCCAGAGUGGGCGCAUGCUGACUGCCCAAAGCUCCACCCUUCACCUCCUGUGAUGUGUGCUCAGUAGGGGAAAUGCUAGGCCUCUCUGCUGGCACCAGGCUGGCCUCUUCCUCCUCCCUGGUGAGAUUCAUGGGGAGUUGCUUGGGGACUCAAUAGUCUGACAAGGGCCGAAUAUCUUCAGCUUCUCUCCAUUCCUGCCUGGAGGGCUACAUUUGCGUGCUUCCCACAGCAAAUCUGCCAGUGGAGAAGGCGACUGUGUUCUCUGCUCUGGGUCUCUAUACAGUUUUUUGUUUGUUUGUUUUUCGAGACAGGGUUUCUCUGUAGCUUUGGAGCCUGUCCUGGAACUAACUCUUGUAGACCAGGCUGGCCUUGAACUCACAGAGAUCCACCUGCCUCUGCCUCCCAAGUGCUGGGACUAACGGCGUGCGCCACCACCUCUAUAGAGUUUUGAAGGUAACACGGCAAAAAAAUUUUCCUUUUUAAAAUAUUGACAGGAGUCAGAAUGAGCCCCCUGAAAUAUGCCACCUGGGCAAAAGGACGAUUUUGAGCUACUGAGAAAAAGAAACAAUUUAGGAAAAGCCCCCAGGCCUUCUGCCACAGUCGAACGCAGUCUUCCCUGCCCCUUGCCAGCUGAGGGAGACAAACUUUCCCUCCAUCUCUGCAGCAACGAGCCCUGCCCCCAGCCUUUUCCCUUCCUACACUCACCUCUCCUGGUCUUGCCACUUCCCUGUGAGUUCUACCCUUGGUUAAAGUGACCCACAAACCUCCUCCUGCACACAUCAAGUCAAUUACAUCUUUGAGUGUUUACUUCUUUUUAACAGAGGUCUUCGGGCAUGUACAAAUCAAAAUGGUGACAGCAAAUGAAAUAUGUAUGCUUU